rnacentral:rRNA from 1 species
UACGUAGGGUGCGAGCGUUAAUCGGAAUUACUGGGCGUAAAGCGUGCGCAGGCGGUUUUGUAAGUCAGAUGUGAAAUCCCCGGGCUUAACCUGGGAACUGCGUUUGAAACUACAAGGCUAGAGUGUAGCAGAGGGGGGUGGAAUUCCACGUGUAGCAGUGAAAUGCGUAGAUAUGUGGAGGAAUACCGAUGGCGAAGGCAGCCCCCUGGGCCAACACUGACGCUCAUGCACGAAAGCGUGGGGAGCAAACAGG